rnacentral:misc_RNA from 1 species
AAGUCGUAACAAGGUUUCCGUAGGUGAACCUGCGGAAGGAUCAUUACUUGUUGUAUUCAACUGCACUCAUACUGCUGUUUGAUUACAUACAAACAAACACCAAUCUGUGCUCCUUUUCUUUUUCCACUCCCUACACUCUUUAUUUUAAUGUCAACUGAUUGAGUUGAGUGUGGUUGGUACCUUUUUGGUGCCCUCCCUCUCAUCUGUGGAUCGCCCUUUCGGGGGUGUAUUCACUUUUGUAACAACUCACUGUGGUGACCCUAACCGGUCUCCUCAGUGUACUUGAAACAACUCCUAACA